AUGGGCGCAAGCCUGAUGCAGCAAUGCCGCGUGAGUGAUGAAGGCCUUCGGGUUGUAAAGCUCUUUUGUCCGGAAAGAAAUCCUCUGGACUAAUACGACAGGCGGAUGACAGUACCGGGCCAAUAACCCCCGGCUAACUACAUGCCAGCAGCCGCGGUAAUA
rnacentral:rRNA from 1 species